rnacentral:rRNA from 1 species
GAAGCAUUCAGCUUACACCUGAAAUGUCUGCUCACACCAGAUCGUCUUGAUGCCAGACUCUAGCCCAAUCAACAUUGACCUGGAAUAACAAAGCUAUUCACUACACCCAACCAAAGCAUUUACCUAGUCCUAGUAUAGGCGAUAGAAAAGACACCAUCGGAGCGAUAGAGAUCACGUACCGUAAGGRAAAGAUGAAAUAACAGUGAAACAAACUAAGCUAAAAACAGCAAAGAUCAACCCUUGUACCUUUUGCAUCAUGGUCUAGCAAGAAAAACCAAGCAAAAUGAAUUUUAGUUUGCCACCCCGAAACCUAAGCGAGCUACUUACGAGCAGCUAUUGUUGAGCGAACCCGUCUCUGUUGCAAAAGAGUGGGACGACUUGUUAGUAGAGGUGAAAAGCCAAUCGAGCUGGGUGAUAGCUGGUUGCCUGUGAAACGAAUCUUAGUUCACUCUUAAUUCUCCUCCAAGGAACUCCACAAACCCUAAUGAAGCGAAUUAAGGGCUAUUUAAAGGGGGUACAGCUCCUUUAAAAAAGAAUACAAUCUCCACGAGCGGAUAAAUAUACCUCACUUUAACCUACUGUGGGCCCUCAAGCAGCCACCAACAAAGAGUGCGUUAAAGCUCUAUAACCCAAAAAUAUAAAAACCUUAUGACUCCCUCCC